ensembl:lncRNA
UUUACCUUAACAUUUUGUUGAAAUAAUUCUAUCAGGCCUAAACGAUGAAGAAACAGGAACGUUUUCAUUCCCAUCUUCGGAUCCUUUAACACUGGCUUUAAAGAGGGGGUUGGGUUGCAACGCCUAAAAGGAAGAAAACGUCAAUAACCAUUUUUCUGCCGUCGUUUUUCGACAUAAUUCACCAUUUAACACACCUAUCUACGCAGUCUCCAACGAGUGGAGCUGCUGGAAAUCUUGAGGCACUUUUAGAUUUUGCAAUAUGCAAACAAUCCCUCUCUUUCUCUUCCUGAAGACAGAAUGACAAGAGAAAUUCACUCACUCGCUCUUCAUCAUUCAGAAGACAGAAAAAACAUUUCCGAAGGACAUCAUUGUGGAGAAGAAAGGCUGCCGCCCGCGCCAUUUAUGGGCGAGGCUGUCGGGCGCUCUUUCAACCGAUUCUGCCUUUGUACGUGGCAAUCAUUGCAAACACAAACUGACAAGAUGUGGUCAGAGGGGCUUGCCGUUUAAAAGCGAGGAUAUUGCACAAAACUCGCAGUGAUAACUCGUGUGUAAAACGCGCCCUCGACGCUGCUGCUGCGCAAAGCGCUGGAAGCCCUGUAGCACAAAAACACAGCAGUAAUCUGAGAGUUUGGACGCAUGCCACGGGUCCGGGAUAUGACUGCACCCACCUAACCAUUUAAGGUCGGAGAAAGACUCUGAAACACUGUGUGGCAUUUCAAUCAGCAAGUACAAAGGGAAUAUCCAGUCCUCUCUGUGCUCUCUCUCGUCCCCCUUUCAAGAACAGUCGGUGCAGUUUGUUCGCCAGCCAUUCAGAGGAACAUUUGACGUGAUGCAUGCAGGAUUACGCACUACUUAUGUUUCUCAGGUCUCUGCUGAAUAUAUCACACUGUUGCAACACAUACCGGUAUGUGGUAUGCAGAUAUUGCACAAUUUAUGGCUAUGUAAUUUUGUAUAUCUAGCUUAUUCCACAUCUCUAUAAAUGUGUAGAGAACGGACAUAUUUAUAACCCAAGCAUCUCAUCAUUGGAAUUUGGUCAUUGCCUUUUGUGUUUGUUUUUUCUUUCUGUUCGUUUGGGGCGACGCCAGCUCCAAUCUAUCAACCAGAAUGAUACUGCGCAAGGGAACGCACCAUCUGUCUUUCGCUUUUUUUAAGAUUCACGCUUAUUGCAUGCACACCAAUACAAUUUUGUCUUUAUGCCAUAGUCUAAAGUAGGACUGAUGUCCGAAUAUUCCAGCAAAAAAGGACUGAAGACGUGACCACAUCGUUUCCUGCCGCCCAAGGCUGAAGUGGGUCAUGAGGCCAUUUUAUGGCACUCGUGUGUUUAAUUAGGAAAAUCCUCUUUAUCUUCGUAACCUGCGCACGCAAGCUGUUUCUAACGGCAGGAUAAGAAGGGCAGAAAAGAGAUGCAGAGAUCUCAGUGAACACCAGUUUUAUCUUCCUUCGUUCUUGUUGUUGUUACCCGAUAUGCAGACGUGUGCGUAAAGCUUCAUUUGUGCUCUGGACAGCUGGAGUGGAUCCUCGACAAAUUUCGCAAUUAAUCAUAUAAGCUAUGCUAACUUUUGUUUAAAUCUCGAAAGGACGUUCUUGAACAGUUCAUUUUUGAGGCACUCUUUUAUAUGUAGCCUACUAUUUUGUAUAUUUGAUAUUUGUAAUGUCAUAUUUGUGGAGACUGGGAGAUGUCUGAAAUCUAAAUUAUAAGGGGUUUUUAAUGCCAGCAAUGUGUGUAAAUUCCCUGUAAUGUGCCUUUUUAAUGUCAAUCUAAUUUCCACAAGAAAUCUGAGGAAAUACUCAACAGAUCCUGACGACGGUUCGCAAUUGCAUUUCUCAUCAUGUACAAUUUUUUUAGUAACAUUUCACUUUUAACUUUUUUUUCCUUUUUUUAGAAUUGAGAAAGAUGAUUGUAACAUUUAAUAAUAUGGUAAGUAUAUAUACACAGAGAUGUUGCACUCAAUUAACUGCUUUUAUGUUGCAAUAAAUAUAACCGU